AUAACUUCGGGAAACCGGAGCUAAUACCGGAUAACAUAUUGAACCGCAUGGUUCAAUAGUGAAAGGCGGCUUUGCUGUCACUUAUAGAUGGAUCCGCGCCGUAUUAGCUAGUUGGUAAGGUAACGGCUUACCAAGGCAACGAUACGUAGCCGACCUGAGAGGGUGAUCGGCCACACUGGAACUGAGACACGGUCCAGACUCCUACGGGAGGCAGCAGUAGGGAAUCUUCCGCAAUGGGCGAAAGCCUGACGGAGCAACGCCGCGUGAGUGAUGAAGGUCUUCGGAUCGUAAAACUCUGUUAUCAGGGAAGAACAAAUGUGUAAGUAACUGUGCACAUCUUGACGGUACCUGAUCAGAAAGCCACGGCUAACUACGUGCCAGCAGCCGCGGUAAUACGUAGGUGGCAAGCGUUAUCCGGAAUUAUUGGGCGUAAAGCGCGCGUAGGCGGUUUUUUAAGUCUGAUGUGAAAGCCCACGGCUCAACCGUGGAGGGUCAUUGGAAACUGGAAAACUUGAGUGCAGAAGAGGAAAGUGGAAUUCCAUGUGUAGCGGUGAAAUGCGCAGAGAUAUGGAGGAACACCAGUGGCGAAGGCGACUUUCUGGUCUGUAACUGACGCUGAUGUGCGAAAGCGUGGGGA
rnacentral:rRNA from 1 species